rnacentral:rRNA from 1 species
UGGGGAAUUUUGGACAAUGGGGGAAACCCUGAUCCAGCCAUCCCGCGUGUGCGAUGAAGGCCUUCGGGUUGUAAAGCACUUUUGGCAGGAAAGAAACGUCAUGGGUUAAUACCCCGUGAAACUGACGGUACCUGCAGAAUAAGCACCGGCUAACUACGUGCCAGCAGCCGCGGUAAUACGUAGGGUGCAAGCGUUAAUCGGAAUUACUGGGCGUAAAGCGUGCGCAGGCGGUUCGGAAAGAAAGAUGUGAAAUCCCAGAGCUCAACUUUGGAACUGCAUUUUUAACUACCGGGCUAGGGUGUGUCAGAGGGAGGUGGAAUUCCGCGUGUAGCAGUGAAAUGCGUGGAUAUGCGGAGGAACACCGAUGGCGAAGGCAGCCUCCUGGGAUAACACUGACGCUCAUGCACGAAAGCGUGGGGAGCAAACAGG